AUUGAACGCUGGCGGCAUGCCUUACACAUGCAAGUCGAACGGCAGCACGGACUUCGGUCUGGUGGCGAGUGGCGAACGGGUGAGUAAUGUAUCGGAACGUACCUUUCAGUGGGGGAUAACGUAGCGAAAGUUACGCUAAUACCGCAUAUUCUGUGAGCAGGAAAGCAGGGGAUCGAAAGACCUUGCGCUGAUUGAGCGGCCGAUAUCAGAUUAGCUAGUUGGUGGGGUAAAGGCCUACCAAGGCGACGAUCUGUAGCGGGUCUGAGAGGAUGAUCCGCCACACUGGAACUGAGACACGGUCCAGACUCCUACGGGAGGCAGCAGUGGGGAAUUUUGGACAAUGGGGGCAAGCCUGAUGCAGCCAUGCCGCGUGAGUGAAGAAGGCCUUCGGGUUGUAAAGCUCUGUCGGCCGGGAAGAAAUCGCAUAGGCUAAUACCCUGUGUGGAUGACGGUACCGGAACAGGAAGCACUGGCUAACUACGUG
rnacentral:rRNA from 1 species